CUCUCCAUGGUGGCAUCAUGCAGGGCUGCUUGGAAGUACGUAACCUGAUACAGCUAUUUGUUUCAUGUCUUUUUUGCGCCUUUGCAAAUAGAUGAUUAAUAGCUACCAUUAGUAACCCUAUUCAAUUCUGGGUGUUACCCAUUCACUUGGGUCGCAAGUGGCGGUGUUAUAUUUGAGAAUGCAACACUCCAACUUUGAACUAAACAUGCCUAUGACUCUACUAGUGUUUACUUCCUCUCUUUCUAUCUUGGAGAAACCUCCGAUGCCAAAAUGGUGAGUAAAGCCAUGUUCCAGUACAUGUCAAAAAGACGCUAAUAAGGUUCAGACUAACAUCAGAAUUAAGUUGUCAGUCCUACUUCAGUGGUUCUCUGUAUAUCUGAAGUUGCUAGCUGUUUCUUUUAUAGAACUUAUAAAUAGGAGUGUACUUCCAGCCGGCUAUGCUUAUGGUUGUUUAAUUUGGUCCUAUGUCAAUGUAGUAUCAAAUAAUUUGUUUUCUGUGUUUUUUGAGAGAGCUUUCACCUGAUGGUAACAUCUCAGACUUGAUGGAAACUCCUUUUGACAGAGGUCUCAUGCUUAUCACGUAAGGCUAUAAGCCCAGGUACGGAACUACUCCCAUGUGAUUUAGCUUAAUCUUCUAUGUACGAUACCUUCACCUUGGCAUGAUGCUAUGAGAGGUACUAACUAUCUCAGCGGUGAGCUCUUCAUGCAAUCCUGAUCUUCAUAAGCAGAUGGCUGAAACGAUUAGCUAAAACUGAAAGGUGCAGGGAUACUUGAUUGCUGCACUAUCUAAACCGUCUAAUACCAGUUUCAGAUAUUUGGUUAAACAUGUUUCCUUGGAAUGUCUUUGAUGGAUUUUAGGUGUUUUGGUACCACGAUUUGCUGUUAGAAUUCAUUCAUUGAUUCUGGUUUAUUGGAUUAGACUGAUCCAUGUAUAAUUUCCAGUUGAUUCAAGUAGCUAUAUUUACAACUUUACCAAGCUACUGAAACAAGUUCUGGCUAAACCACCUAUUAUAUUGAUCCGUUUUGGUGCAAUUAAGCCAGUGUUGCUUAUCAUAUAGUGACGUAUCAUGUUCUGCAUCUACCGUCUUAUGCAUAUUGCGACCAUGCCUGGGAUAGGGUUGACCCUAGCCUGCAGUGGCUCUCCCUUCCUCGAGAUGGCGAACCCAUAUGGCACUGGCAGAAAGCCUAAGCUGCAUCUCAAGCCGGCGCUUGAAAUGGGGGCUCCGAUCCCGUCUACGUCGAGCUCGCCUAGCGCCUGCUCGCCCGGUUAGUGCCAAGGAUCUUGAAACUUCACCAAAGAUGAAUUUUCUGAUUCUAGAAGGUUUUAAUUGUCAAACACAAUCUGCUCAGAGAAAAAAUGAAAGGAGUCACCACCACGUCUGGCAAAAUUCAGGACUGUGUGCACCGGUUAAUGCAGUGGUUCAUUCUAUUGCAGAUAAAUUACUAGCUAUAUCCAGGGGCAAUCAAUCUAUCUACCGAUGAGAAUAUAAUUGUGUCGUAUCCUUAUCAUAGAGAUGCACUGCAACCUAUAAAUUUUAGCGGAAAACAAGAAAUCGUAUGGAUCAAUGGUCGUCUAUAUCGAUUUUCUAUGGGUGACACACUGGCUCACCUAAGGACUGUAAAUAUUAACCAGCGCUGGACAGAGAGUUCAGGUUUGGAGAUCAAAGCUACCUCUUUGUUUCCCAAUAA